UACAGAGGAUGCAAGCGUUAUCCGGAAUUAUUGGGCGUAAAGCGUCUGUAGGUGGCUUUUUAAGUCCGCCGUCAAAUCCCAGGGCUCAACUCUGGACAGGCGGUGGAAACUACCAAGCUGGAGUACGGUAGGGGCAGAGGGAAUUUCCGGUGGAGCGGUGAAAUGCGUAGAGAUCGGGAGGAACACCAGUGGCGAAGGCGGCCUUCUGGACCAAUACUGACGCUCAUGCACGAAAGCGUGGGGAGCAAACAGG
rnacentral:rRNA from 1 species